rnacentral:rRNA from 1 species
UACGAAGGGAGCUAGCGAUGUUCGGAAUUACUGGGCGUAAAGGGCGUGUAGGCGGUACCAUAAGUCAGAUGUGAAAGCCCUAGGCUUAACCUAGGAGGUGCAUUUGAUACUGUGGAACUAGAGAUCGAGAGAGGAAAGUGGAAUUACGAGUGUAGAGGUGAAAUUCGUAGAUAUUCGUAAGAACACCAGUGGCGAAGGCGACUUUCUGGCUCGAUACUGACGCUAAGGCGCGAAAGCGUGGGGAGCAAACAGG